GAUGAACGCUAGCGGGAGGCCUAAUACAUGCAAGUCGAGCGAGAAAGUCUUCUUCGGAAGGCCGGAAAGCGGCGCACGGGUGAGUAACGCGUACGUAAUCUACCUUAUACAGAGGAAUAGCCCUGGGAAACUGGGAUUAAUACCUCAUAGUCUUUCACUACCGCAUGGUGGUGGAAGUAAAGUUCCGACGGUAUAAGAUGAACGUGCGUGCUAUUAGCUAGUUGGUGAGGUAACGGCUCACCAAGGCGAUGAUAGCUAGGGGGCGUGAGAGCGUGAUCCCCCACACGGGUACUGAGACACGGACCCGACUCCUACGGGAGGCAGCAGUAAGGAAUAUUGGACAAUGGAGGCAACUCUGAUCCAGCCAUCCCGCGUGCAGGAUGAAUGCGCUAAGCGUUGUAAACUGCUUUUAGAUAGGAUGAAACCCAGACAUUUAUGUUUGGCUGACGUUAUUAUCAGAAUAAGCACCGGCUAACUCCG
rnacentral:rRNA from 1 species